AAUAUUUAUCAAGAGUGGCGGGUACCCUCCUACGCUAAAGCUUCGGAAGGGUGGCGCGAAAGCGUCAAAGUACUAGCUUGUUGAUCCGCCCAGCAACCGACCUUGUGGUACGGUGCUCCAUCUAGCCCAGUAAUGGGAAGGAUACGGCUGACGCGGUCAAAGCAGCAAAAAUUUGAACUCUU
rnacentral:ncRNA from 2 species